rnacentral:rRNA from 1 species
GUCUACAGGCAUACAACCCUGAAUGUGCCUGAUCUCAUCUGAUCUCAGAAGCCAAGUAGGGUCAGGCCUGGUUGGUACAUCAAUGGGAGUUUGGUUUAAAUC